UACGGAGGGGCUAGCGUUGUUCGGAAUUACUGGGCGUAAAGGGUGCGUAGGCGGGUCUUUAAGUCAGGGGUGAAAUCCUGGAGCUCAACUCCAGAACCUGCCUUUGAUACUGAGGAUCUUGAGUUCGGGAGAGGUGAGUGGAACUGGCGAGUGUAGAGGUGAAAUUCGUAGAUAUUCGCAAGAACACCAGUGGCGAAGGCGGCUCACUGGCCCGAUACUGACGCUGAGGCACGAAAGCGUGGGG
rnacentral:rRNA from 1 species